GAUGAACGCUAGCGGCAGGCUUAACACAUGCAAGUCGAGGGGUAUAGUUCUUCGGAAUUAGAGACCGGCGCACGGGUGCGUAACGCGUAUGCAAUCUACCUUUCACAAAGGGAUAGCCCAGAGAAAUUUGGAUUAAUACCUUAUAGUAAUACGACUUGGCAUCAAGAUGUAUUUAAAGAUUUAUCGGUGAAAGAUGAGCAUGCGUCCAUUAGCUAGUUGGUAAGGUAACGGCUUACCAAGGCUACGAUGGGUAGGGGUCCUGAGAGGGAGAUCCCCCACACUGGUACUGAGACACGGACCAGACUCCUACGGGAGGCAGCAGUGAGGAAUAUUGGACAAUAGGGCGGCAAGACCUGAUCCAGCCAUGCCGCGU
rnacentral:rRNA from 1 species